AGGACAAACGCUGGCGGCGUGCCUAAGACAUGCAAGUCGGACGGGAGGCUUCGGCCUCUAGUGGCGGACGGGUGAGGAGCGCGUGGAGAACCUGCCCCGGGGUGGGGGAUACCCGCCAGAAAUGGCGGUUAAGACCGCAUACGAAUGCACCGUGCAGGCGGUGUAGGGAAAGCAGUGAUGUGCCCUGGGAGGGCUCCGCGUCGGAUUAGCUGGUUGGUGGGGUAACGGCCUACCAAGGCGACGAUCCGUAGCUGGUCUGAGAGGACGGCCAGCCACACUGGGACUGAGACACGGCCCAGACUCCUACGGGAGGCAGCAGUUAGGGAAUUUUGACAAUGGGCGCAAGCCUGAUCGAGUGACGCCGCGUGCGGGAUGACGCCUUUCGGGUGUAAACCGCUUUUCCCAGGGACGAGGAGGGACGGUACCUGGGGAAGAAGUCUCGGCUAACUACGUGCUAGCAGCCGC
rnacentral:rRNA from 1 species